ACAUUCUGGUUCAGCACCCCGAACAAAGUCAGGCUCAGUAUGGACUCAAGUGGGAGCACAGCGACUGCAAUGGGGAAGUUGAUCCUGGGAGAGACGAGGGACAGCAUCGGCAGAAUGGCUGUGAUUGGUCAAAGUUUCCUGUCAUAGGCUACAUCCCUCCCAGGCUGGACACAGGGCUUUUUGAGCUGAAUAUGUCAUCUAGACCGAGGAUGCUGCUAUUAGUAGUGCAAUGAAUGACACCCCAAAAGCAGAACAUUUAAAGUAUACUUUAUACAGCAAUGAGAGGGAUUUGUGUGUCAAGUAAUGUAAUAAAAACAAAUAAUUUUCAACCA